UUUAUUUAACUCACAAGUCCUACACUUAAAGGAUAGAUCUACAAGGGGAGAGACCACCGAGUUUUCUCCUAUAUCUUCUGCUCAUUCUUCAAAAUUCGUAGUAGCUGAAUCAACACAUCCCUGUAUGCUGAUUUCUUUUUUCUUGGUGCUGAGAGGAGAAUUAAUGGGCUCCAAAGGGAGCUGCCUCUAGUGCUCUGAUUUGAAUUCUUCAAUGUUAUGAGGACAAACAGACUUUGAAAGAAGAAAUGAUUCAACGUAUCAGAUACAGUAAUGAAGACAAUAAGAAAUUGGAUUGAUCCAGGUCUGGAGUUUUGCCACAGAGUGAAAUGGAACAACAAUAUGCAGGAGAAGUGAGGAUACUGCUUAUAACUCAUGCAAAACAACAUGCUGCAAUGUUCUGAUGAAAUGCUCCUCUACAGUCGAGGCUCCCAGAAGGCAGAGAGCAUAUUCAUUAACUCAUUCUGCUCAACACUUAGCUCAUGUCCAUGGAGAGAUGUUGAAUAUGAGCUCCUAUUAAAAAGAGGGAAUACAAUCAAUCAUUUGAGAAUGUCCAAAAAGAACUUUUCCUUUCCAUCGAGCCUUACAAAUUAUUCUAAGAUUGUUUCUGUAAAUACCAUGUAAUUGGGAGAGAUACACAGGGAGCGUCAAUUGUGUCUGUAAUGUUUUACUGCUUAUGAUAAAAAGAUCUGAAACUAAUGUGACAAAAUACUAAGAUUUCACAGAAUUCAGUGUUGAGUGUCCUCUAAGUUAUUAUCUUUAUUCUUCAAAUAUUUCAUAAGGAAAAAGAUGGUGGGAACUUACAAUAUUUAUUAUUUUUUUGGAGAAUGGCUGGAUAAUAUACAUUGAAAUCUGCUAAGAAUUUACCAGAAGGAAGGAAAGAGAAACACACACACACACACACACACACACAGAGAGAGAGACAGAGAGAGAGAGAGAGGAAAAAAAAAUAUAUCCUUGGAAUGCCAAGCCCAAAGAUGCAAGUCUAUCUGCCGAUUUAUAAAAGCAAAUAAAGAGAAACCAUCUAA
rnacentral:lncRNA from 10 species